GGUGAAAGAGAGCUUGCUCUCUGGAUCAGUGGCGAACGGGUGAGUAACACGUGAGCAAUCUGCCCCUGACUCUGGGAUAACAGUUGGAAACAGCUGCUAAUACCGGAUACGAGACGUGAAGGCAUCUUCAACGUCUGGAAAGAACUUCGGUCAGGGAUGAGCUCGCGGCCUAUCAGCUUGUUGGUGAGGUAAUGGCUCACCAAGGCGUCGACGGGUAGCCGGCCUGAGAGGGUGACCGGCCACACUGGGACUGAGACACGGCCCAGACUCCUACGGGAGGCAGCAGUGGGGAAUAUUGCACAAUGGGCGCAAGCCUGAUGCAGCAACGCCGCGUGAGGGACGACGGCCUUCGGGUUGUAAACCUCUUUUAGCAGGGAAGAAGCGAAAGUGACGGUACCUGCAGA
rnacentral:rRNA from 1 species